rnacentral:lncRNA from 1 species
GACUCACCGCCGGGCGGACGCAAGUCGGCGAGCCCGCGGUGGGGGUCCCCGCGCCGCCCAGGCCUACCCCGGCUCCUUGGGAUAGAUGGGGAAGCUGAGGCCCAGAAGGGGGCUGAGACCACCUCCCAGUUUCCCCAGUGAGGUGGCGCCUGAGCCACGGCCAGGCCCGGCCUCCUUCCACCCGGCCCUGCUGUGCGCGCGGCGGGUGCUGACCUGGCGAGGCCGGACAGGGGACCAGGUCGGGGUGACCGUCACUGACACCUGGACAGUCCUCGUUGUGUUCGGGGUGGGAAGCCCACGGAAGACAUCAACACAGGAGACUCCCAAGACUGCUGGGGCCAAAUGUGGCAGGUGGACGUCUCCCCGCCACCGAGCAAGCCAUCAGUUCUGCAGCGGACACCAGCCGAGUGUCCUCCAACACCAUUCCGGUACCUGCAGAUAGCGUCAGAUCCAGACACCUACACACACACACACACACACACACACACACACAUAUGCACACACAUGAGCUGCGAGGGCCAGCCUCUGGAACUUCUUACCGACUGGCCCGACGUUGAGGUUCCCACUGUUAGAGGAACGCUUGCUCACCAGGCCUCUGGUUUAAUGAAACAUGACCAGAGUGACUCCAUCUUGAAGUGAGUAGGAGGCACUCACAAGGCACCUAUAAGGUUAAUGCUUAUGGUCUAAAAAUAGCCAUGUCUCAAGCUGGACACCAAUUAUAAUUACAGAAUAUUUGUGGCCAUAUGGGGCAUCUCCCAGCAAGCCCGCAGACUGUCCAGAUGCAUAGUGAGUCUGGGGACCCAAGAUCUUAUUUUCCUUUCUGUCACCCCCGCUUGGUUUUGGAUUCCGUGACAGCUGGACCCGGCUUCUGCGUGAUCUUCAGAGGGAAGGCACCAGGAGUGGACUGCGGGACACCCAGAGUGGACUGCAGGAGGACACAGAAGCUAGGCUGAAGCGGGAGGAAGCUGGGAACCCUGCACGGGGCCACUGCGCACUGGGACUCGUUACUGGUCCCCAAGACUCAGGGAGAAUGGGUGAGUUGAACUGGCAAGGAGGAGCCCACUGUCAUUACGGGCCUCUGGAAUCCCGGCAGGAGGAGAUUAACCACAUGGACAUUCGAGGUGGCAGAGAGAGCUGCCUAGAGAAGGUGCGGGGGCAGCAGCCAGCUGAGGCAGAGCCCGGAGGGUUUGGUGCAGGAGCGUCUGUAGUGGAGGGCCAUCCCCCAGGCUCAAAUUCCUCCCAUAGGAGAUUUUAGCCCUAGGGGAGCUGUUGUAUGUGAUCUUUGUGGGGUGGUCUUGCCCAUCAGAUGGGGCCAGUCUGACCCGAGCAUGCCUUGGUCUGCUGGCCUCUCCCAGGGCCCCGGCCUGGCCACGCCUGCUUGCAGGGCAGCUCUGGGUGCCCUGGGGGCCUGCAGCAUAGCUUCUGCACUGGCAGACCAUGCCUGAUUGGUGGAGAGCUCCAGCAGGGCAGCCCCCACAUCCCUGUGCCAGCCUGCCCACUGCCUCCCACACUGUAGCUUCUCCAGGGCCCACUGUCACCCCCCAUCUUGCUUUUGCCAGUGCAUGUCUGUGCAGGUGGGUUUUGCUUUCCUUGCCCGCCAGUGUACCUGUGUGUUUGCACCCUGCCCUGCCAUUGCUGUGGCAGGAGUACCGUUUGCCCAACGCCCCCUGCUGACUGCCAUUGCAGUUGGAGCCUUGGCAGACACAGAGCCAGCCAGCCCCACCUCCCUUGCACCCCACUCUUGCACCAACACUGUUGCGGGAGUGAAACUAGGCACGGAAUAGGGACCACCCUGCCUGUGGGGCACAAAGAAUGCCACAGGCCUGGGCCUGCCGGUGCUCCACCUCCAUCCCAACACCACCGCCAGCAUGGCUGUUGCCAGCAGGGGGCCCUGCCCCCCAGGUGCUUUCGUCUGCCACUGUGGUGAACACCUGCACAGAGGCAGGCACCCCAGCACUUGCUAGCACCCUGCCACAGCCGAUGAACGUGCACCCUGUGCUGCUGCCACCACGGCUGCUGGCAUGUGCAAGCAAGAAUGGAUCCCGCUGCCACUGCACUGCAAAAUGCACUGGCUGGCACCACCUAUCAGAGUGUAGUGACCGGUAGUGAGGAGCACCUUGAUCCCUCAGUGCAGUUGAUUCCUAACCUCCGGGAGCCAGAGAACAAAGUUGGUGCCUGAUACAAGUACCCCAGUUAGAGCACACAGUCUGGGAGUUGGGAACUGAGCCUUGGCCCCCUAAAAUCAUCCAGAAACAAAGCCAGUCAGCUGAAUCCAACUUAUACUACAAUCAAAUCCUCAAGGUCAUCAAAUAGGAUAAAAGAAAAAAAAGGACAUAAUUGGAGACACUGGUUAUUUUACCAAAGCUUUGACCGGAAGGAUGUACUUUUGGAUACAAACAGACUGCUUUAAGGAGUCAAAGCUGACUUAUGAAGUUGGCCUCAUCCCUUGUCUACACAGUCACUGUACAGAGUUCCUUGCCUGUAGUAUGUAAAGAAUGUCACUUUCUGACAGGCUCAGGAGCCCCAAAUUAUCCUGGGACCUUGAGGAGAGGACAUUGCCCAAUUUAUAUAGGUAUUUUCAGGCACCAAUAAAUCAUGGCUGGGCUCAAGGCUUUAAAAAAAGUCAAAUCUGGGAUUCGUUAUAGAAUAAAGUUCCAGCAAAGCCAAUUUUAAGACAGGCCUAUAUGGCAAAUAAUUAUUCGUGCUGACAUUAUGCAAACACUCAGGCCAAGUAUAAGAUGAAAAAUUAUUUUAAAUAAAUUUGUCCUACUAUGAUUUGUCUUCAGUAAAAACAGGUACUGGGCUGGGCAUGGUGGCUCACAGCUGUAAUCCCAGCACACUGGGAGGCCAAGGCAGGCAGAUCGCUUGAGGUCAGGAGUUUGAGACCAGCCUGGCCAACAUGGUGGUGAAACACCAUCUCUACCAAAAAAUAUAAAAAUUAGCCAGGUGUGGUGGCAUGUGUCUGUAAUCCUAGCUACCCAGGAGGCUGAGGCAUGAGAAUUGCUUGAACCCAGGAGGUGGAGCUUGCCUGAGUCCUGGUAAGGCACAGACAGAAAGGGUUGUCAGCCAUUUUUUUCUGAGGUUAUAAGAUCUGCAACUUCCCCAGUUAUUUUCUGGGGCAACUCAAGCGGAGAUUCUGGAGACGCUCACAUCUGCUGGAAUGCAGGCUUUUCGUUCGUAGAAACAGCAAGCGGCCAUGAGUGUGAUUAAUUGGGAAUUGGAGUGACAUCCCUGCGGCUCCUGGGGAAAGAAGAUGAGACCUGGAUAUGAAGGGAAAGGAAUCCCCUGAAAUAGGGGCUCCCAGAAGACAGCUUCAAGAUUCAUGAUUGGGAAGAGUGUAUCACAGCCAUUGGGAACUUUCUUCACCCAUCAAAGCCUCAGGGCUGAAGCAUCCUGAACAAGAACUCAGGAGAGUGAAAGAAACAGUUACCUGUCGGCUGCAGCUGGUACCAGCUCCCCACCCCGUACAGAGACCGAAGCGUCCUCUCUCUCCCCAUCACCCAGCACCAGACUCUGCCCCGCGACCUCAGCCUGCACCUGCUUCCUGGCUCCAUCCAGCCUUCCAGCCUCACUAGAUCAUCAUGGGCCACUGGCCAACACACAGGGCAGUGCCGAGCCCAGGCCGUGGUCACACAUGGCUGGGUUAGUAGCUGAAAACAUUGUUUUUCACUGGCCUCACAGUAAUGGCACCUGCCCCCAUUUUCUGUGAUUGAAUUUUUGGAUCCUGCUACCAGGUUAUGAUAGAUUUUAUGGUAUGUCUCAAGAUAUUGAGAUAAAGGUAAUAAAACAGCUAUAAAGUCCUGGCUCAAGAAGUGUUACAAACCCAAGCAGGGUAAAUACAAGAAAACUGCACCCAGACACAACAUAGUAAAAUUGCUGAAAACCAAAGAUGAAUAGAACACUUAACAGUUGGAGGAAAAAAGCCACAUUACCUUCAUAAGGACACCAAUCACACUAACAUCUGACUUCGAAAUAGAAAUAUAAAAGCCAAACUACAAGGGAAUGUGAUCUUCAAAAUAUUGAAAGAAUUUAAUUGUUAAGUGAAAUAAUUAACUGCCAACCUAAAUUCUAUUCCUAGUGGAAAUACUCUCC